UAGGAACUAUUGUCACGCAGCACUAGAGGAAUGCCAAGUUAAAUUGGGAGAACUCCAUUUUUUCUCUCCUUUUUAGAUCUCUCCCUCUCUGAUUUCUCUCCUUUUAUGGCUGGCCAGAUGAGGGAUUUGGGUGUGUGGAAGGUGGAAGGAGGAUGGGGUGGCACAAGGUGGCUAGGCUGAUUUUCUUAUUGUGAUUGAUUGUU
rnacentral:lncRNA from 1 species